GAGAGUAAACAGUGCGUGAAACCGCUCAGAGGUAAACGGGUGGAGUUGAACUGCGAUCCUUGGGAAUUCAGCUGAUGAGCAUGAUUUGUGCUUGGGCAUAUUGACCGCCUUUCAGUGUCUGCUUAGCUGCGGGUGCCUGCCUCUGGUGGGUAUGUGUGGUGCGCUUAUCAUGUGCCGCACGCAUUGGAGGGUGUAUGAGUCUGCUUGUCGGUGCACUUUCUCAGGGUGUUCACCACGACCGGCACUGCUGUCUGUCUGCUUUGGUCAAACUGAUCAGGUCUGAUUUACGUUGGGCUUGGUUGGGUUGGCAGGUGACUCACUGGUCCAUUCUGUGGGCUAUGAGUGUUACUAGCCGGCCUUAGUGGAUCUGUACGGUGUGUCGGAGACGGCGGCUUUGCAUAUGCGCUCUGUCCUUCAGGCGUGGUUGAGUCUGGUCGACUUGUUGCUAGUUUCGGCUGGUCAGUUGAUGGCUUGAUCAUGUUCAGUUGGCAGUGGUGUGUGUGUCUUAGUUUGGGCCAAUAGUCUGUGGUGUUGUGGUAGACUAUCCACCUG
rnacentral:rRNA from 1 species